CUAAAUAUUGAUUGAUCAAACUUCUGUGAGGAUAUAUCGGACAUCAAGUCAUAUGAUGAAUGAGUCUCCUGUGUCUCCUCAAGCUAUUGUUGAUCAGCUGGAACGUUAUUUGGAAUAUUUUUUUCUACCCAUUACCCUGGAUCCACCCUGAUCUCCCUAGCUACCACACUGGCUGGUCGUGGAGGAGACCCCGACUCAUCAAGCUCUAGCUUCUGCUGCUG
rnacentral:lncRNA from 1 species